rnacentral:rRNA from 1 species
CAGCAGCCGCGGUAAUACAGAGGGUGCGAGCGUUAAUCGGAUUUACUGGGCGUAAAGCGUGCGUAGGCGGCUUUUUAAGUCGGAUGUGAAAUCCCUGAGCUUAACUUAGGAAUUGCAUUCGAUACUGGGAAGCUAGAGUAUGGGAGAGGAUGGUAGAAUUCCAGGUGUAGCGGUGAAAUGCGUAGAGAUCUGGAGGAAUACCGAUGGCGAAGGCAGCCAUCUGGCCUAAUACUGACGCUGAGGUACGAAAGCAUGGGGAGCAAACAGGAUUAGAUACCCCGGUAGUCCGUGUCUCUUAUAC